rnacentral:rRNA from 1 species
GACGAACGCUGGCGGCGUGCUUAACACAUGCAAGUCGAACGGAAAGGCCCUGCUUUUGUGGGGUGCUCGAGUGGCGAACGGGUGAGUAACACGUGAGUAACCUGCCCUUGACUUUGGGAUAAUUCCAGGAAACUGGGGCUAUUACCGGAUAGGACCUCUGCUUCCUUGUGGGGGGUUGAAAGUUUUGGCGGGUGGGGAUGGACUUUGGGCUUAUCAGCUUGUUGGGGGGGUAGUGGCUUACCAAGGCGUUGGCGGGUAGCCGGCCUGAGAGGGUGACCGGCCACAUUGGGACUGAGAUACGGCCCAGACUCCUACGGGAGGCAGCAGUGGGGAAUAUUGCACAAUGGGCGGAAGCCUGAUGCAGCAACGCCGCGUGCGGGAUGACGGCCUUCGGGUUGUAAACCGCUUUCGCCUGUGACGAAGCGUGAGUGACGGUAAUGGGUAAAGAAGCACCGGCUAACUACGUG